rnacentral:rRNA from 1 species
UACAGAGGAUGCAAGCGUUAUCCGGAAUGAUUGGGCGUAAAGCGUCUGUAGGUGGCUUUUUAAGUCCGCCGUCAAAUCCCAGGGCUCAACUCUGGACAGGCGGUGGAAACUGCCAAGCUGGAGUACGGUAGGGGCAGAGGGAAUUUCCGGUGGAGCGGUGAAAUGCGUAGAGAUCAGGAAGAACACCAGCGGCGAAAGCGCUCUGCUGGGCCGACACUGACACUGAGAGACGAAAGCGAGGGGAGCGAAUGGG